CAUGUCUAAGUAUAAAUAGUAUACAGUGAAACUGCGAAUGGCUCAUUAAAACAGUUAUAGUUUAUUUGAUAAUUGAAUUAUACAUGGAUAACCGUGGUAAUUCUAGAGCUAAUACAUGCAGCAAAACCUGACAUUAGGGUCGUAUUUAUUAGAUAUCAAACCAAUAUUCCUUCUGGUCUAUUGUGAUGAUUCAUAAUAACUGAUCGAAGCUUAGCUAGGCUAAGCUAAAUCAUUCAAGUUUCUGCCCUAUCAGCUUUCGAUGGUAGUUUAUUGGACUACCAUGGCAGUCACGGGUAACGGGGAAUUAGGGUUCGAUUCCGGAGAGGGAGCCUGAGAAACGGCUACCACAUCUAAGGAAGGCAGCAGGCGCGUAAAUUACCCAAUCCUGACUCAGGGAGGUAGUGACAAGAAAUAACAACUCGGGGCCUCACGGCUUACGAGAUUGCAAUGAGAACAAUUUAAAUCUCUUAUCUAGGAACAAUUGGAGGGCAAGUCUGGUGCCAGCAGCCGCGGUAAUUCCAGCUCCAAUAACGUAUAUUAAUGUUGUUGCAGUUAAAAAGCUCGUAGUUGAAUUUCUGGUUUCGAUAUUAGCUGGCUUCGGUCGUUGAUAUCGAUAUCAUCCGUGAGAGAACUGUAGCCGUCCUUAACUGGUCACUGCAGAGAUCUCACAUUUUACUUUGAAAAAAUUAGAGUGUUUAAGGCAGAUUAUCGUCAUGAAUACUAUAGCAUGGAAUAAUGGAAUAGGACUUUAGUUCAUUUUAUUGGGUUAUUGAACUUUAGUAAUGAUUAACAGGGACAGUUGGGGUCAUUUGUAUUUAAAUGUCAGAGG
rnacentral:rRNA from 1 species